rnacentral:rRNA from 1 species
CCCUUAGAUGUUCUGGGCUGCACGCGCGCUACACUGAUGCGAUCAACAAGUUUUUCCUAUGUCGAUAGACACGGGUAAUCUUUUGAACUCGCAUCGUGAUGGGGAUAGAUUAUUGUAAUUAUUAAUCUUCAACGAGGAAUUCCUAGUAGGUGCAAAUCAUCAGUUUGCAUCGAUUACGUCCCUGCCCUUUGUACACACCGUCCGUCGCUGCUACCGAUUGGUUGAUCUGGUGAAUUAUUCGGACUGCCGGCUGAAGGGGUUUCCUCAUCUGCCAGCGGAAAGUCUUGUUAACCCUAUCAACUAGAGGAAGCAGAAGUCGUAACA